ensembl:lncRNA splicing factor, proline- and glutamine-rich-like
CUUCCUUCCCUGCCCCCGGGGAGCGGGAGGCAUGCGCCGCAGGGCUCCGGCGGGGAGGCGGGGAGGGACCGCACCGGGCCGGGGCACAAAGGCGGCGGCGGCCGCUGGCCCUGGGAGCCGGCGCGGAGCGGAGGGAGGGCGGCGGGAGCCCGGUAACGAUCGUAACGGAAGGACCGCCGGGGGAAAGGGGCACCGCGGCCUCCUGCAGCAGCCCCACGGCCACGGCUCGGCUCCAAACCGCGGUCCCGGCGCGGAGCAGGAAAACAGCAGCGGAAAGAACGAGAUGAGCAGAACCAAGCUGUGGGAUGCUUCCUAUCGGGACACCCGUUUCAACCUGCUCAUUCCUAAAACACACAGAAUAAUACAGAGCCGAUAAGACAUUUGCCUGUGUGUUCUUGUCCCUGGGAUAUGUAACAUGCUUUUAUGUUCUGAUCUGGCUCGCUUGAACGAGACUGCUGAAAACAGCACAGCCAGCAGCUGUGUGCAGGAGGAAACAAUGGACUUGCUUUUCCUUCACUGCAGAAUUGCAGCCUGGAGGUGAGGAAACUUUGCUUCGCUCACCAUAUUCCUCCCUAGCGCUGCGGCAGAGGAAAUAAAAGGCUCUUGUGUUCCUGUAUCCUCCCGGGC